rnacentral:rRNA from 1 species
AUUGAACGCUGGCGGCAUGCCUUACACAUGCAAGUCGAACGGCAGCACGGAGCAACCUGGUGGCGAGUGGCGAACGGGUGAGUAAUGCAUCGGAACGUACCUUUCAGUGGGGGAUAACGUAGCGAAAGUUACGCUAAUACCGCAUAUUCUGUGAGCAGGAAAGCAGGGGAUCGCAAGACCUUGCGCUGAUUGAGCGGCCGAUGUCAGAUUAGCUAGUUGGUGAGGUAAAGGCUCACCAAGGCGACGAUCUGUAGCGGGUCUGAGAGGAUGAUCCGCCACACUGGAACUGAGACACGGUCCAGACUCCUACGGGAGGCAGCAGUGGGGAAUUUUGGACAAUGGGGGCAACCCUGAUCCAGCCAUGCCGCGUGAGUGAAGAAGGCCUUCGGGUUGUAAAGCUCUUUCGGCCGGGAAGAAAUCGCACGGGCUAAUACCCUGUGUGGAUGACGGUACCGGAAUAAGAAGCACCGGCUAACUACGUGCCAGCCGCCGCCGUAAGAC